CUGGUUUGCAGAGGUGUUCAAACAGAGUUCAGAGAGUGACAGCUGAGAUAGUCGUCUUUGUACCACGCACAAUGCGUGUAGCCAUUUGGCAACUUAUCUCUUGCCGCACCUAUAACAGUGUUUCCUUUCUAUUUCAGUCAGGUAAGGUAGAAAUAACCAUAACAACCAUGAUGGUGUCAUUCACUGAGCCAUUAUUAUUUUUUACAGGCAACAUUUCAUGGUUCCAGGGAGUCUUGUAAACAAUGGAAUGAAGGCCAAAGUAUACUUAGCUCCUUUUUAAACCAUGCUUAAAUGGUCUGCCUUUAUUUUAAAUGGGAAACAACCCUAGGGCCCCAAUCUAGGAUGUGCUUCCAAUCUGGUAUAGGAGCUCCAUGCCAGUUUCCUGCCAAAAAUUGCCCCCUCUUGGGUGCUCUUUGCACUCGAAAGUGCUGUUUCCUGUGAGUAACACCAGGGGGGCACGGGGGGGGGGGGACACAUAGCAACUGUGGAACAAUUAGCACAUUGUUCCUUUCAAGUCAGGGCUACACAGCUGCUUUUUCUUCAGAUAAAAGUGACUGAUUUAAGCAUGCUGUUUCAAAAAGUGUAAAUAAUGUUAGGGUGUGGUUUGGCUCUGAGUGUUUCAUGAUCAUUCACUGCUGUCAUGUCAUCUGUGCACAUUUAACAGCAAGAGGUGCCUGCCCUGACGAGCUUACCAUCUAAAUUUCAGUAACACAGAAGAACUAAUAACUGAAUUAUUUCAGUAAUGCAGAAGAGCAAGGGGAGAAGCCUAGACAACAGGGAGUGUGUAUAAUUCCUAUGGCACACACUUAAUAUUUGGGUCCCUCCAGACUUACUUUUUAUUGGGCAUUGAUGAUCAUGAUGUUCUUAGAGUGGUUAUAAGCUUUCAAUACAGUUUGUGCCUGCAAAAGUUUUUUAGGGGGGAUAUACUGCUUGGUUUCCCAUUGGUGCAUAUCCCAUAGGUUCCUGCUAAAAUCCUGUAGAUUUUUAUACCACAAAUCUUCCGGGGGUGUGCAUGUGUCUUCCUUUGUUACACGGUACUGGAAAACUGCACCUACAGAUGACAAUCAUGCAAUAACAUUGAGGAAGCAUGAGCAGAUGACUAAUAAAGUGGAAUGACAUGUCGAUGGCCCAGUAUAAAUUCACCACCACAUCCGUUACCAUUGCAUCAAUGACAUGUUUUAGAAUAUACCCCACUCCCAGUCACCUGGAGAACAGAAGUCUGGAAUGGCGCUUUGUUUUGAUUUGCACUAAGGAGGAAGGGCAAUGACAAACCUAGACAGCAUCUUAAAAAGCAGAGACAUCACCUUGCCAACAAAGGUCCGUAUGUAAAAGCUAUGGUUUUCCCAGUAGUGAUGUAUGGAAGUGAGAGCUGGACCAUAAAGAAGGCUGAUUGCCGAAGAAUUGAUGCUUUUGAAUGAUGGUGCUGGAGGAGACUCUUGAGAGUCCCAUGGACUGCAAGAAGAUCAAACCUAUCCAUUCUUAAGGAAAUCAGCCCUGAGUGCUCACUGGAAGGACAGAUCCUGAAGCUGAGGCUCCAAUACUUUGGCCACCUCAUGAGAAGAGAAGACUCCUGGAAAAGACCCUGAUGUUGGGAAAGAUGGAGGGCACAAGGAGAAGGGGACGACAGAGGACAAGAUGGUUGGAUAGUGUUCUCAAAGCUACCAGCAUGAGUUUGACCAAUCUGCGGGAGGCAGUGGAAGACAGGAGUGCCUGGCGUGCUCUGGUCCAUGGGGUCACGAAGAGUUGGACACGACUAAACGACUAAACAACAACAAAGGAGGAAGGAGUUAAACCAAAUAUUUCAUUUCCAACAACUACAUUCUGAUUAGCAACCGGAGUCACUUCAGGCAAGUAAUGUGAUUAUGAAUGAACCAUUUGCACAUCAGAAAGUUGUGGCAGUGUGGAAGCAAGAACUCCUGAGGAUCACAGUCUGCUGUAGCAACUCACAGUCAAACCAUUUUUAAAGCCCAUCAUUGCUGGAAUCCAGUUGAGUUCUAACUUUAAAAAUAAAAUUAAAAAUCCAUGCAAAUUCACUUCCAGUUUAUUCAGUAAAUCUAGUUUGUCAUCAUUUCAUUUGUGAUCAUUUGCUUAUACCUCCAAAUAAUUUUGCAAAUAUUUUAUUAGUUUGGGUCAGCUGAUGUUAACUAUAGGCUAAUGCAAAAAGGAAAACAAAGUAAAAUGACCCGAAUCACAUGUUUGUAUUACAGCUCUUCCUCCAUGGUAGGGAUGGGCAAAUUUGCCCACUUCAGUUUCUCAGUUUUUCAUUUUUCUAGUAUUAAGUUCUCCAUAUUGCCACAUCAGUCUUCAAUUUUUUUAAAAAAAUAUGCAAAUCCAUCAGCAUUUUAGUGUGAACUUAUCUUAAUAUAUAUUUUGCAGAGCCAUUUCUUCCAUUGUAAUGCAUUUUGUUAUUUUGAAUAAUGUGUGCAUUUUUGUUCAUCUUUUACCACAGUAAAGGCAUUUUUAUGCACUUUGCUUGGCUGGAGAGUGUUGCUGCAAAAUGUGGAGAUAUGCAGACAUUGUGAGAAAUUUGACACACACCCCCGCACAUUUUAAUGCAAAAUCACCUAAUUCACACUUCUCGAACCAAUAUGCAAACUGAAACAGUUAUCUUUUGAAAACUGCACUGGUUCAAAUUUUGGGAUGCAGUUUCCUCAAAGCAAAUAAUAUGUACAAAGAUGCAGUUAUUAGGUGAAAGUGUGAAGAAAAAUGCAAAUAUAAGUUAAAUUAGCAUACAAAAAUGCAUGGCAUUAGGGGAAAUUACUUGCAAAAAUGUGUAUUUUAGUCAAAAGGGCAUACAAAUAUAUAUUGAUGAUGAGAAACUCACACUAAAAUGCUGGCAAAUGUUCACAAGGAUUAUUUUAUUAUAUUUUAUUUGCAAAUUUCUGCAGAAAUGUGGAGAACUGAAUUCAAGACAGGGGAAACACUGAGAGGCAUUGGAAUUCAUCCAUCCCUAGACUGUAAUGCACAAUAGGAUUAUUAUGGUGGAUUUCCACAGUCCAGAUAGAGGGAUACAAAAAGAAUCUAGACCAUCUGAUUUUACAAAAAUGCCUGGAAAUUCUGCACUCUGUGAUAUAAUAUAGCACAAUGCCAUUUUAAAAUAGUAUAUGAACAAGAUAUCUUUCUUUGUCACUCAAAUCAAUUCUACUUUUUUUUCUAAAAGUGUUGAACCAAACCCCUGAACUGCUGCAUAAAUCAUUAAGCGGCAUUCACACUAACUUUUUAACAGGCAUUUUAAAAGAAAGGGAUGCCACAUUAAUUUUAUAUACGCUAGUAAUAUUUCAGUGCAUUCAAACUUUCCAUCCUAGACUUUAUCUCGUAGCCAAUUCUAAUUUAUUGCUUAAGAGAAAAAAAUCAAUCAUGAUAAUGACGUAUUUAGAAACAGCUGUUGGCAAAGGAUUUUGUGUAGAAGAGAAAAAGAAUUUCAGAGGAGAAACCACUACAGAAUCGUUUUUGCCUGUUCUGGUUAUGAUGUUCUAUGGAACAUGGGAAAUAGAGAAUGGUGCAAAGGAGGUAGUCAUGUCUCUGGUACCUGAAUGUAGUCUUAGUGCAGACCUCCCCAAGGUGGCACCUUCCAAAUGUUGUUGGACUUCAGUUCCCAUCAACCCCACCCAGCUUGGCCAAUGGUCUGAGGUGAUGAGAGUUGUAGUCCAACAUCAUCUUGAAGGCAUGGACUUGGGAAAGUCUUAUCUUGGAGGAAUGGAAAGGGAAUUUGCAAAGCCUUCCUUUCUCCAUCAUUUUUGGCACAUCAACAACUCCUUCAAAAUCAAAAUGACACAUAUGUACACACAUGUUGUGCGUACGCACACACACACACUUUGUGCAGAAAGUCAGCUAAUUUGACUUAAACAUAGGGGAAACUGCCAGAUCAGGUAGCAUGACAGAAAAGGUGUUCAAUAACAGUAUUAUUAGAAUAUUAAAAUUGAAACACCAAUCUUUGAAAGGAUAGCACUUUAUGAUUGCAAUUGUGGAUAAUUUAGAUGGUUACCACUAAGAGGGAAAAAUACCUUACAUCUCUUCUUACCAAUGUGCACUGGUGUUGUAGUGCUAAAUUUUGAAAUGCAGGAGCUUAUCAUAACAGCCCCCAGGGCUAUGGCUUAAGAAGAGUCAGUCCAAAAAUGUGAGCAGUUGUGUUCAUCCACAGACCAAAGAGCAGCAGAACAUAGCAUAAUGCCCAACUGAUUUGAAUCAGCAAUCCUAUGCAUUGAACUCAAUGGUGCUUACUUCUGAUUUCAUAGGUUCAACUUGUAAAACACGUUGAUCUUUUAAUCUAAGAUCUUCGGCCAACAGAAAUGCAAACUUCAGCUUCUACACUGACAAACAAACAAUCUUGCAGAUAAUAAUUGACUUUUAAACUACUAACUUGAAGUAGGAACCCCGUCAAAGAAGAGGCAGGGAAGUAUCUAGCCUCUACUUGAUUAUUUUCCAACUUCCUCUAUGCUAAUCUAGAAAGAAAAAAAGAAAAAAGUCUCAUUCACUUGCCAGGGUGGGGGUGGGGGGUGAGCGCUCCAACAUAUGAAGUCAUCACUUCUGCUCUGAAAACUCCCAGAUCUACACACCUCUGCAUCCCCCUCCCCCCACAGUACGCCAUCAGUAAGAUCUAGUGGAACAAAGCAUGACCCCACUGUGCCCCAGCUUUCACAAACACCCAUCCUUGACUACCAAUUUCUAAUAUGUGGUUGCAUAUGUCUAUGCGUAGAUCUUCCCAUAAUUUUCUGCUGUAGUUAUCAUGGUAUUUUUGUGUAUUUAUAUCGUAAACUGCCCUGUAAUCUUUGGAUGAGGGGUGAUAUAAAGGUAAAAGUAAAGGGACCCCUGACCGUUAGGUCCAGUUGUGGACAAUGCUGGGGUUGCGGUGCUCAUCUUGCUUUACUGGCUGAGGGAGCCGCAUACAGCUUCUGGGUCAUGUGGCCAGCAUGACCAGAGCAGCACACAGAAAUGCCAUUUACCUUCCUGCUGGAGUGGUACCUAUUUAUCUACUUGCACUUGGACGUGCUUUCAAACUGCUAGGUUGGCAGGAGCUGGGACCAAGCAACGGGAUAGAUUUAAUAAAUAAUGUUGGUGAUCAUCAUCAUAAUACUAUAUUAAACCCAUAAAGGAAGUCAUAAUUACAUGGAGCAUCUAUUGUUUAAGAGUGAAAAGUGGGUGAAUGAUGGAAACACAUUUCCUUUCCCCCCUCUGCUUCCUAGGAGAAGAGAGGGUUAAGCUGCCAUGCAUUAAAAGCAAUGAUUUUAUGUUGAGGUCUCCAAGUCAGUGAAUUUACAUUUCAUAAGAACACCCUGAGGGGCUUUCAGCUACUUUGCUUAUAAUGGUAGACAGAUACAUUUGCGGCAGAGAAGGCAGAGCUUUGGGUCUGAGCAUGGCCUCCCACCGCAGCCAGCCUCCUCAUGGCACACGUGUGCGAAGGGUGACUUACUUUUAAGUGGAUAAUGUGCACAGACACUUUUAUGUGGUAGCUGGGAAUAGCGCUCAGUAAAAAGAAUCUGACUGUAAUUACCGAUAACGAGGAUAUAAAUUUCGGGGCCCCGCUUUCUUAGCUGAAUUGUGCUCACAUUUUUAAAGCAUUUACAUUUUGCAGUUGCUGUAUUUACAGCUUGACUGCAAGGAGCCUCGUUUUUCAUCCACGCUGGAUGAUUUUAACUCUCUGGCCAAGGAGAUGCUCCUCCUCUCUUCCCCUUCAUUAGGGUUUCCAACGAUUUCAAUUCUAUUUUUAGACGGUGAGCCCAUGGGGCAGAGAGACUGGGCUCCUAGAACAUCACCUAGCACUUAGUAGGCAUUUGACAAAUGAAAAAUAGCAGGAUUAUGAUGCAGUCAUAGCAAUGGGGGCUAUGCAGACAUUGCCCUCCCUAUGUGUUCACUGAACACACAGAAGACAGACAGGUUCACCCUAAAUCUCAGCAUCUGCACUGACCUCUUUCCUUGACCUCUGCACAUUCAACCUUAGUAUGAAAGGGGCUCCAUGUGUGAUCAGGAACCCAGGAGAUCUCAGGGUUCCUGGUUUCAUAGAGGUUUCAAGAACUGCUAGACCUCCCUCCAUGAACCUUUUAACUGAAGGUGACAGUUUCUCUGUGAAGUACCCUGCAACUCCGCCCAGCCAGGGUGGCCAUUGGAUCCUCUGAAACAAGAAAGAGAAGUAUUUUUGUUCCACUUGGACCUUGCUUGAGCAACUUUGUUUUACAGAGCCUUGGUUGUUCAUUGGUCAUGACUUCUGUCUUGCUCUUGGAUUCUGCCUUCUGGUUUCUCCUCCCAUUCUGUUCCAGAUGGUUUGUGCCUCAACUCUGCUUCCUAAUUUGCCCUGUGACUGUGAUGUAUUCUCCAUUCCUGACCAUUGGCUGUUUCCAGAGCUUUUAGCUGCCCAUGACCCAGCCCUAACAAGUAUGGGUCAUGUCAACAUGACCACAGCCCUUCAAGGAUAGUCUCCUGAUAUGAACGGACCCAGACUCUGGGAUCAUCAUCUGAAGCCUUUCUUUUGGUCCCUCAAUCAUGAGAGGUCUGGAGGGUAGCAACAUGAAAACAGGCUUUUUCUGUGAUGAUUCCCUGUUUGUGGAAUGCUUCCCCAGGGAGGUUUGCCUGGCACUUUCAUUACAUAUCUUUAGGUGCCAGGCGAAAGCAUUUCUCUGUACCUAAAACUUUGGCUGAUUACCAUCCUAUGGCCUUUUAAAGUGUUUGUGGGAGGACGGUUAUUGGGUCAUUUUUGUUUAAUACAUAUUUUAUGUUCUCAUUUUAUACUCUUAUGUUGUGAACAGCUCUGUGAUCUUCGGAUGAAAGGAAGUGUACAAAUUUAAUUAAUAAAGAAAAAUGCAGCUCAGCAUUAGAGCAUCAGCUUUGUGUGCAGAAGCUCCUACAUUAGGUUCAAUCCCCAGCAUCUCCAGGUAGGACUGGGAGAGACAACAGCCAGAAGCUCUGGAGAGUCACUGUUAGUAAGUGUAGACAGUACUGACCUUGAUGGACCAAUGGUUUGACUGAAUGUAAGGCAACUUCCUAUGUCUGGAGGGCCAGACAGAGAAGCUUUGAGGGCCACAUUCAGCCUCUGGGCCUGAGGUUUCCCACUCCUGCCAUAGUCCACUAUCCAACACAGCUUGAAUGCUACACAUCAAUUUGUUGUCUCUUCUCCACUCCCCAUACCAUUAUUGUAGCCACUAGAGUACAUCUGACCAUCUUUAGGUUUACUUCCAAGUAUAGCAAGUACUGGAAGAGUGGAAUGAAUGAAUGAAUGAAUGAAUGAAUGAAUGAAUGGCGGAACAGGUACCACAGAACCACAGAAGCUACAGUCUGCAGCAAUAAUCAGUAUCUGCUACAAUGUUGCAGGGGCACACACGCACACACACACACACAGAGAGAGAGAGAGAGAGAGAGAUCCAGUUUUCACCUAAAAAAAAAAAGACUCACUAAUAGAUAUGAAAGUUCACAACGUGGUACAUCUCUAUCCAAGUGAGAGCUUGCCAGGGUAACGGCAGAAAUGUAAAUCACCUCUCCCCCCCCCCCCCCAAAUCUCAAGGCAGUGGCUUUUUCAUCUUUUGUUCAAUCAAGAUCCUGUGAAGAUACUUUUAUAAAGAGCACAAGAAAGGCUGUAUUUUGCAGGGCCCCAGAGCCGUUUCUCCAUCUUACUGCUAUGCACUUUUUGACAGACUACCGGUCCCUAAGUCAUCUGCAUUCCCCUUGUUUUAGGCUGAAGGAUUUCUGAUUUUUCAUGCGGCAAGCCAACUGUAUGUGUUCCUCAAGGAAACAGCACAAAAUCGACACUCGAAAGUCCUUUGCACAGUCUUUAUAUUGAGGGCAGCUGGGAAGGUGGUCUACAAGUGACUAUUGCAUUGACAUUUCCUUCCAUUCCCAAUGAUCAACAAGUUCUGAUCUUUGAGUAAUUUAGUUUGGGCAGCAAAACAAUGCAGCGUUUUCUUUCCUGCUUGUGUUGUCAGGACCAAAACAUUGACCCAAUGUGCAGCAGCUGUGAAAAAGGCACUCUCCAGGCGAGGGAUCAUUAGGGAAGCAAUAAAAAUAAAAAAUCAGUAUAAUAAUACCUUUAAGAAAAUGGAUGCCAUACUUAGCAUUCUGCAUACAGUUCUGGUCACUGCAUCUUAACAAAGGUGGUUGUUGAGCUGGUAAAGGUGCAGAAAAAGGAAGAUGAUUGUUGCUGAAUAUUCAGCAACUUGCUGAAUGAAGCUGAGCGUUGAAAAAUUGAGUGCAGAUAAAAGAAAGUACUUUUUCAUGCAGGACAUUCUGAAACUCGAUCCCAUAGGAUACUGUGACAGUCACCAAUUUGCUGUUGUUGUUUAGUCGUUUAGUCGUGUCCGACUCUUCGUGAGCCCAUGGACAAGAGCACGCCAGGCACCCCUGUCUUCCACUGCCUCCCGCAGAUUGGUCAAACUCAUGCUGGUAGCUUCGAGAACACUAUCCAACCAUCUCGUCCUCUGUUGUCCCCUUCUCCUUGUGCCCUCCAUCUUUCCCAACAUCAGGGUCUUUUCCAGGGAGUCUUCUCUUCUCAUGAGGUGGCCAAAGUAUUGGAGCCUCAGCUUCAGAAUCUGUCCUUCCAGUGAGCACUCAGGGCUGAUCUCCUUCAGAAUGGAUAGGUUUGAUCUUCUUGCAGUCCAUGGGACUCUCAAGAGUCUCCUCCAGCACCAUCAUUCAAAAGCAUCAAUUCUUCGGCGAUUAGCCUUCUUUAUGGUCCAGCUUUCACUUCCAUACAUCACCACUGGGAAAACCAUAGCUUUUAUUAUACGGACCUUUGUUGGCAAGGUGAUGUCUCUACUUUUUAAGAUGCUGUCUAGGUUUCUCAUUGCUUUUCUCCCAAGAAGUCACCAAUUUAGAUAGCUUUAAAAACCUGGAGGAGGAACCGGCAAGCCACUCCAGUAUCCCUGCCAAGAAAACUCCAUGGACAAAGACAACAGUCACAAAUUUAGAUAGCUUUAAAAGAUGACCAGGUUUCCCGCAGACAUCUGGUCUGUGAGAACAGGAUGCUGGAAGAGAUGGGCCAUUGGCCUGAUCCAGCAAGUUCUUCUGAUGUUCUUAUGACAACCAAUGUGAUCAGAGAGGUUGGCGUAACUUCCUUAUCAUGAACAAUAUGUGAGCUAAAACACAGCUAUCCUUCAAAAUCCACACUUCUCCAAAUUUUGCAACACAGUUCUCCAACCAAACAAUGUUGACAAACAUGCAUAUGUAAGCGUGUAUAAAGAUUAUUGAAAAUGAUAUACAAAAAUACAUCAUUCUAGGGGGAAUUGCUUACAAGAAAUGUGUACAUUAGUCCAAACUGCAUGAGUUUAGAAAUGAGUUUAUUGGUAGAAAUCCACACUAAAACGUUGAUCAACUUUCCUUAUGAUUUUUCUUUUAAUCGCAAAUUGGUACAGAAAUGUGGGGAACUAAAUUGAAGGUUGGGAAAAUGAGAAAUGGGGAGAAAUGAAAUGGGCAGAUCCUUCCGUCCCUAAACCUAAGUAAAGGUGGCGCCUCUUUCUUCUUCCCUGAAACCCCUAAAGUAGCACCAGCAGCUGUGCCAUUUUGCCCGAAGAGCCAUUUAACUCAGCAGACAUGCUCAUGAAACAUCUGUGCAAAUUGUUGAAUGCCAACUGUGUGGGGCGUUGCAAAUGGGGCUUCCAAGCACUCCCUCCAUUACACUAGCAGAGCUCCAAAUGUGGGACUGGCAUGUAAGAAUCUUAUGCACCAAAUUUCUCUUUAGUUAUAUCUAGGAGUGCUCUGAUGGGUUUCACAGUCUUUGAUUACCACUACGGGACUGGGAAAUCAGUACAACAACGCAGCUACUUGUGCUGGGCAGAACUGUUAAGACAAUUGCCAUGCCCCAUACAAUGCUGAUUCUACUUCUGUGAAAGCAAAUCCCUCAAAGUUAAUGAUUUAAUUUCCCCCAAUGUUAAUAAUACCAUUUUCAGUAGUUUCAUCCUGGCACAGAACAAGAAUUUCCAGGAUAUGGGUUCUCGGCUCUUUUUAUCGCAUUAUUCUAUUUAGCAGGUCUAAUGAUGACAUUCCAUUCAAAAUUAAACACUUAGGAAGAUUGGCAGGAAACGCUAAAGUCGGAAAUGCCUUUUUGUGCUUUCCCCCCCUCCCCAAAAAAAGGAACGGAAAUGAAGAAAACCAAAUGAAAGCUUUCUUCAGCGUAUUAAAAGCGCACAGCUAGAUGAGGAAUUGGCAAGGCCAUUAAGGGUAGGAAGGAAUGGGUCGUCAGUGACAAAUGAAGACAGUAUUACGGAGAGGCUGGAUGAGUAUUUGUGCCCGAGUCUUUAUGAAAGAAGCUUAAGGUCAUGUCCCGGAUAUUGGGAUCCAUUUUUUGGAAAUGUUUAUGAUCACGCCAGGGCAGAUUGUCAAGCAAUUAGAACUAUUAAUUAGAACUAUUAAGCGCUGACAGGGCACGAGGCCCCAGAUUAACUGUAUUUUAGAAUUGUAAAAGGAAAUAUCAAGGAAAGCAAGAAAGUCUUUAGUAGGGGUGCUUAAUAACUCAUUAAAGAGAAAGCUGUUCUGCUGCAUGCAUAUAAAGCAGCCUGGCUAGGUUAAGAGCACAAGUUCUCAUAUAUGAAGCAACCUUAAAGAGAGUCAGAUAGUUGGUCUAUCCAGCCUGGAACUGGCUACUCUAACCAGCAGCCAAUCUCUCACAUCACAGGCAAAGGUCUUCUCCAGCCUUGUUACCCAGUAUUGGUGCCAUAGAUUGAACCUGGGACUUUCUGUAUUAAAAAAGGUUGGGCCAUUCCCAUGUGGCAACCCUCUGAUGUGUACUCACCUAAGCCUCCAUCAUGCAAUACAUACACAGAGGAAGGCACUGCCCCACCAACUUCAGUCUGUCCUUCAGCCAGCCACCACCUGCCUGCUUUCUUACUUACCGCCAGUCCAGGGAGUGGCACUGCCUAACAGAUUCUUCUCUUUAGUCUCAGUGUUGUCCCUAUAGAACUCAGCAAGGAUGUGGAUGGGGACAAACCUAACUGGCUGUGCCUGUCAUUGGCUCUAGCGCCACCUGCUGUUGGCCUCCCUCCCUCCUGUCCCACUAGUCCCAUUGGCUGCCAGCCACCACUGCCUCCGGUAAAGGGGAAAUGCUGAGCAGAUCCCUUUCUGACGAUAUUCAUCAGUGAUCAGACUCAAGCAGAAGCAGGCAAUCUUUCAGGCACCCUGCAGCCAAGGGUUUAAAUUAUCCUAACCAGCACUCUGAAUUGAUCUCAGAUCCCCAAACUGGAAUCAGUGUACUUGGGAAAACAUCAGAGUCACCCCUGACACCAGCCUCACAGCAGCAUUCUCUAACAGAUGCAGCUUCCAUUCUCCAAAGGCAGUCCCAUGUAGAGCACUUUGCAGUACAGUAAUCUAGCCUACAUAGAAUAUACUGUAGUAGACUCUGAAACCAACAAGUUUUUGUUUUUUUGCAGUACCAGAGUAAUCUGCAGGCUGCUAAGUUUUUUUGGAGUACAGUAGUACCUCGGGUUACAGACACUUCAGGUUACAGAUGCUUCAGGUUACAGACUCUGCUAACCCAGAAUUAGUACCUCAGGUUAAGAACUUUGCUUCAGGAUGAGAACAGAAAUUGUGCAGCGGCAGCAGGAGGCCCCAUUAGCUAAAGUGGUCCCUCAGGUUAAGAACAGUUUCAGGUUAAGAACGGACCUCCAGAACAAAUUAAGUUCUUAACCUGAGGUACCACUGUACCAGAGUAAUAUGCAGCCUGCUAAGUUUUAAACUAAUUGAUGUUUUUGAACAGUAUUCAGAAACCCUCCCCAAAAUACAUGGCAGUUUUCCAGUCAGGUUGUUACAUGCACUACAGUGGUCUUAUGCCACAACAUAGAGAAACAAUCCUUUGUUUUUUCCUGCUUAUAUGGAAAAACUCCCCCCCCACACACACAUUUAUUGAAUAUCUUCUGUUGGUGUAAAAAAAGUCACUUCUGGGCCACAGGCAACUAAGUUAUUAUUGUAAAACAAAUUUAGAAGAGACUGGGCUUUUUAUUUAGAAAUACAAGUUUCAAAAUAAGUUUCUGAUAUUUUUAGAGACUAAUGUGAAAACAUACCCUGACCAUCCAAAAAACACAAUUUCUACUGUCUCCCUCAAAACAUGCAAAGCCAUUUAAAGUGGCUUCCUCUAAAAAAUGAUCAAAAUUGCCUCUCACCAUGAGAAAUCCACUCUGCUUCCACAAUAUCAUUGCAGCCCAGGGCCCUCCAAAUUUACCAUGUCCAAUUAAAAUCAUGAAAUUAAAAUCUGGAUUAAGCAUCCAAGCAAAACCUUUCCAGAUGGGUAUAUAUAUUAUCUCUCUGUCAUUAUUGCUUAAGUAUAAAUCCCAAGCACUUAUCUGAGCAUUGCACUUACAGGCAAAAUUGUACAGCGUCCAUGGGCGUGAGUCAAAAGCGAAAAGCAAAAUGAGUAGGGUUGCAAGCCCCUGCCUCAGCGGCUGGAGGAUAAAACAUAUAUCUCUAGGAGUGGUGAGAAACCUCAGUCACUGCAUUUAUACGCAAUGACGGCAGCAAGAAUAUUAUUGGCACAAAAAUGGAAGCAAGAAGAAUUACCGACGAAAGAAGAUUGGAGGAUGAAAUUGAUGUACUAUGCAGAAUUAGAAAAACUAACGGGAAGAAUUCAAAACCGGCGGGACCAGAGAUUCACAGAAGACUGGCAUAAAUUUACGGACUAUUUGAAAAGUAAUUGUGAUGAUCAGAUUACAUUUGUAGGUUUGCAGGAAGUUUUGUGAGGUGAAUAAUUUGAAUUAUUGCAUAAUUGGACGAAAAGGAAGACGUUAGUUAAGAUAAUUAAAGGCAAUAUGAAUUUAAGAAAUGCAGAAGAAAUCAUAAAAAUGGGGGAUCAUCAGAGGUGCUGAUGGAAGUCCAAAAGAUUGUUUAAGAU